GACGGGGGAUGCAAGUGUUAUCCGGAAUCACUGGGCGUAAAGCGUCUGCAGGUGGUUUCCUAAGUCCACUGUUAAACCUUGAGGCUCAACCUCAAAUCUGCAUUGGAAACUAGGAGACUUGAGUAUAGUAGGGGUAGAGGGAAUUUCCAGUGGAGCGGUGAAAUGCGUGGAUAUUGGAAAGAACACCGAUGGCGAAGGCACUCUACUGGGCUAUUACUGACACUCAGAGACGAAAGCUAGGGGAGCAAAUGGG
rnacentral:rRNA from 1 species